GUGAUUUAUGAGACACGAUCAGGUAUUAGAGCAGUGAGUGAUCUGGCGGAGACACUCGGCUGCCAGCAGAGCGCUGAACGCGGAUCUACUUCACCCAAAAAUUUUACUUGAGCCAAACCAUGAAAAACAUUUCCCGUAAAUGGCCAGACACUACAGAAGACACUAUGCGUUCAACCAGAGAAUGUUCUUGGUUACUGCCAAAUCCAUUUACAGAACAACCUUUCGACUUCCAGAUGGUGGCACAUAAUUCAUCACUGCUGAGAAGGUUGUUGCUUUGAUAUCACUACAAGCAGAGCAGAACUGAACUGAUCUCGUGGUGAGUCGGCAUCUGAUGCCUGGAUGAAGGAGAGAGGGAGGACAUGGGGAGCUGCUGAGACAACACCACACUGACUAUGAAAGGACUACACAACUUCAUGUCGGAAUAGAGGAAGGAUCCAGGAGCUGCU